GUCCCUGUAGUGCAAUGAAUAGCGCGUUGGACUUCUAUUCCAAAGAUGGUGGGUUCAAUUACCACCUGGGAUG